AGCUACGGCCAUAUAAUACCGAAAGCACCGGAUCCCGUCCGAUCUCCGCAGUUAAACGGUAUAUAGAUCAGUCAGUACUAUGGUGGGGGACCACAUGGGAAUACUGGUUGCUGUAGUUU
rnacentral:rRNA from 12 species